rnacentral:rRNA from 1 species
AGAGUUUGAUUAUGGCUCAGGACGAACGUUGGCGGCGCGCUUAAUGCAUGCAAGUCGAGGGUGAAACAGCCACUCCGUAAGGAGUGACUGUGGAAACCGGCGAACGGGUGCGCAACACGUGAGAAACCUGCCCCCCAGACCGGGAUAGCCCAGGGAAACUUGGAUUAAUACCGGAUACUCUCUUUGGAUCGCAUGAUCCGUUGAGGAAAGGUCCGCUGCUGGGGGAUGGUCUCGCGGCCUAUCAGGUAGUUGGUGAGGUAACGGCUCACCAAGCCGAAGACGGGUAGCUGGUCUGAGAGGACGAUCAGCCACACUGGAACUGAGACACGGUCCAGACUCCUACGGGAGGCAGCAGCAGGGAAUAUUGCACAAUGGGCGAAAGCCUGAUGCAGCGACGCCGCGUGCGGGAUGAAGGCCUUCGGGUUGUAAACCGCUUUCAGGAGGGAAGAAAAUGACGGUACCUCCAGAAGAAGCUCCGGCCAACUACGUGCCAGCAGCCGCGGUAAUACGUAGGGAGCGAACGUUGUCCGGAUUUAUUGGGCGUAAAGGGCUCGUAGGCGGUUCAACAAGUCGGUCGUGAAAGCCCGGGGCUCAACCCCGGGAUGCCGGUCGAAACUGUUGUGACUUGAGUUCGGUAGAGGUGAGUGGAAUUCUCGGUGUAGCGGUGGAAUGCGCAGAUAUCGAGAGGAACACCCGUAGCGAAGGCGGCUCACUGGGCCGAUACUGACGCUGAGGAGCGAAAGCGUGGGGAGCAAACAGGAUUAGAUACCCUGGUAGUCCACGCCGUAAACGAUGAACACUAGGUGUAGCGGAUUCAUUCAUGUCUGCUGUGCCGUAGCUAACGCAUUAAGUGUUCCGCCUGGGGAGUACGGCCGCAAGGCUAAAACUCAAAGGAAUUGACGG